rnacentral:lncRNA from 1 species
AUCCUAUAAUUUUUGAUUCAUAUGGAUAGUUUGUAAAACUAUUAUAUGUAUAAAUAUUAUAGCACCUUAACUGAAUUGAUCAAUAUACUGGUAACUAAAGAACUUUGAAAAGUUUGAAGGAACAUACCUGGAGAACCUAAAGAAAUAUUGAUAUACCUUUGGAAGGUAUGUCGAAUUGCUCAAAUUUGAUCUUACGAUUUUUUCUUUUUCAAUAGACUCUGGUACAUAUUACACACUUUAGUAUAGGAUCUAAGGAAGGAAGAGGACUGAGAAAAGGUGAAGUGACUCUUUUGAGUCAGCAAUGAUGCAAAAAUUGCAUUGAGGCCGUGGGCACCUAACCUUGGUGAUUAUCGUUUGGAUUUAGUUCUUUAUCAUUUGCAUGGUGAUACAUUUUAUGAAAAUUAUUUGAGCAAAAUAGUGAAUGCCAUUGGGUCUGAGAGAUCCAGAAUCAAAUAACCUGAAGUAUAUAGAUGGUUCUUUUGG